AUUCUUCCAAACAAUAAAAGCCCUGCCUCUCUUUCAUCCUUGCGGCUCCGAUGACCGCGCCAGCUGAUUGAAAUGCGCUUGAUAUUG
rnacentral:sRNA from 1 species